AGGUUUCUGCCCCCGGUGCAGUGUGGAGUCCCCACUCGCAGCAGCAGAGCCCAGGGGCUGGGGAGAGGCUGCCUUGGUCUGGCAGUGCUGCAGAGCACAGCAAAGUCAGAAACACAUUAGUCCCAGGCAACUUGAGCUCUCAGCCCUGCACUUGCCACCUCCAGGUUUUUCCCUCCCUGCUGAAGCAGACCUCUGCUCCUGCUGAAACAUCCUGGGUGAAGCCUACAAGGAGAGGAGCCGUGCAGACACUGGUGCAGUGGUGAUGCUGAGAGGCAUUUUAGGAGUGGUGAGAGCUCGUGUCAGCAAAGCCCAGCUCUGAGAGUGGGAUAUAAUGAGGACCCCUUGAGCCCUUGCAGAAUGAUCCAGCGGCUCCAUGCACCUUUGGGAGGUGAUGAGCUGGGUGCUCUGCUCUGCCAGGCACUGUUCUGGGCUGCAAUAUGGAGAUGUUAGAGAGAUGACUGGAUGAUUUUGCUCAUCUAACAAUGAUGUGACAUGCUCUAAAAGACAUGCUCAAAUGUGGAGUGAUGGAAAACACAGAACACCGGGCAGACUUUCCUGGGAGAACAGUACGUAAAUUCUUCCCUUUCUGGACAUGUUUUGGUCAGGUGACCCCAGCUUCAGUCAAGUCUCCAGGAAAGGAGUGGAGCACAGGGAGAAGUCACCAUCUUAGGAAAAUGAUUCUUUGCUGAUGGCUUUCUCGGCAGGGAGGCACAGCCACCUCAGCACCUGCAUGUCUCAGAGGCCAACAAACUCCACCAAUAUCCAGAGAGGCAAUAUCCAGGCCUUUCCCUUCCUUCCUCCCCAACACCCUGGCUAUGCACUUGCAUGCUCUUUAUUACAGCAAUCUCGAUUUACAUCAGCAGGAACUGGAGUCACACAUGCCUCACUUCAAAGCUACCUCCCUGGCUGUGAGGGAUCUGCUGCUGAUAGCAGCAGAUAGUGGUGUCUGCAGCUUGCAAGUGAAGUGAAAGUCUGGUGAGCUGCCCAGACAGACACCACUCCAGUUUGAGUCAUUACCCUUUUCCACCUGUUCUCAGCUGGAUGCAUGAGAAAAGAUAACUCAUGUUCAAACACCAGGUCAGCUCUGCCUGCCCCUGCAAAAUAAACAUUUGAUGUCAGUGAAGAUCAUUAAUGGGAUGGUGUUUCAGGUACUUCCUUUCCCUUCACGCAUUUCUCGGGGGUUUUAUCAAAAGUAAAGAGAGUGAAUAAGAUCCCGGCAGGCACUCAGACUCUCCUGGAAGCAAUGGUGUCCUAGUGCGCUCCGGCAGCUGUCAGCAUGGGUGGCACUGCUCCUCCUCAAGUCCAUGUAUGC